GACGAACGCUGGCGGCGUGCUUAACACAUGCAAGUCGAACGGAAAGGCCCUGCUUUUGUGGGGUGCUCGAGUGGCGAACGGGUGAGUAACACGUGAGUAACCUGCCCUUGACUUUGGGAUAACUUCAGGAAACUGGGGCUAAUACCGGAUAGGAGCUCCUGCUGCAUGGUGGGGGUUGGAAAGUUUCGGCGGUUGGGGAUGGACUCGCGGCUUAUCAGCUUGUUGGUGGGGUAGUGGCUUACCAAGGCUUUGACGGGUAGCCGGCCUGAGAGGGUGACCGGCGACAUUGGGACUGAGAUACGGCGCAGACUCCUACGGGAGGCAGCAGUGGGGAGUAUUGCACAAUGGGCGGAAGCCUGAUGCAGCAACGCCGCGUGCGGGAUGACGGCCUUCGGGUUGUAAACCGCUUUCGCCUGUGACGAAGCGUGAGUGACGGUAAUGGGUAAAGAAGCACCGGCUAACUACGUG
rnacentral:rRNA from 1 species